rnacentral:lncRNA from 12 species
CAUUAACCCCGAGGUUAUUAUUUGCUCGGAUAAAUAUUCACCUGCACGUUCACCUCGGGUGGGGUUUUGGGGACAGCGUGAGGAGUUUGCCUGGAGUCAGCUCGACUCCUGCCAGCACCACUGCGCUCCCACAGCCCCAGGAAGGAGUGGAUCACGACAGAAAUCGCUGAGCCGGCUGUGGGAGCAGGGGGAGGACACUGUUGUCAUGUCCAUGUUCUAUCUGUCAUCUACUGGGAUGCUGGCCUGGCUUGGAUUGGUGCUCUUGGUGCUCUGUGGUCUCACCUGAUGCUGCUCCUUGCUCCAGAAGGGCCUGGCUGCAGCUUCUCCACAGCUCUCACGUCACUCAGCUCUGGGUUUAAUGGCCCUGCUCCCUGGAAAGAUGAAAUAUAGGGUUGGGCAAUAA